GAAACGCGAAAGGUAAUGCGAAUUGCAGAAUCAGUGAGUCAUCGAAUCUUUGAACGCACAUUGCGCCUCUCGGUAUUCCGGGAGGCACGCCUGUUCGAGCGCCUUUACAAACUCCAAGCGUGGCUUGAUGUUGGGCGAUGUCUUUUUGCGAGAGCGGAGACACGCCUGGAACGCGUUGGCGCCGCCGCCGGACCACGAGCGUAGCAAGACGAGAGUCAAUCGCAUCGAUUUGGAUUCCGACGGAGGUCCGCCAUGGGACUGCACUUUCGAGUGUAAGUUCACAACUUCUCUCAAGUUUGGCCUCGGAUCAGGCGGGGAUACCCGCUGAACUUAAGC
rnacentral:misc_RNA from 1 species